AGAGGUUUAAGUUAAAAAAACUAAUAGCCUUCAAAGCUUUAAUUGGCAAAUAGUCAAUCUCUA
rnacentral:tRNA from 1 species